UACGAAGGGGGCUAGCGUUGCUCGGAAUCACUGGGCGUAAAGGGCGCGUAGGCGGCCGUUCAAGUCGGGGGUGAAAGCCUGUGGCUCAACCACAGAAUUGCCUUCGAUACUGGAUAGCUCGAGACCGGAAGAGGUUAGUGGAACUGCGAGUGUAGAGGUGAAAUUCGUAGAUAUUCGCAAGAGCACCAGUGGCGAAGGCGGCUAACUGGUCCGGUUCUGACGCUGAGGCGCGAAAGCGUGGGGAGCAAACAGG
rnacentral:rRNA from 1 species